AGAGUUUGAUCAUGGCUCAGAAUCAACGCUGGCGGCGCGCUUAACACAUGCAAGUCGCACGAGAAAGUGGAGCAAUCCAUGAGUACAGUGGCGUACGGGUGAGUAACACGUGGAUCAUCUACCUCUUGGUGGGGAAUAACCCUGGGAAACCGGGGCUAAUACCGCAUAAGCCUGCAAAGGGAAAGCAGCAAUGCGCCGAGAGAGGAGUCCGCGGCCGAUUAGCUGGUUGGUAGGGUAACGGCCUACCAAGGCAAUGAUCGGUAGCCGGCCUGAGAGGGCACACGGCCACACUGGCACUGAAACACGGGCCAGACUCCUACGGGAGGCAGCAGUGGGGAAUCUUGCACAAUGGGGGAAACCCUGAUGCAGCGACGCCGCGUGAGCGAUGAAGCCCUUCGGGGUGUAAAGCUCUUUCGGCAGGAACGAUUAUGACGGUACCUGCAGAAGAAGCUGCGGCUAACUACGUGCCAGCAGCCGCGGUAAUACGUAGGCAGCAAGCGUUGUUCGGAAUUACUGGGCGUAAAGAGUGUGUAGGCGGUUCUCUAAGUUCCGUGUGAAAUCUCCCGGCUUAACUGGGAGGGUGCGCGGGAAACUGGAGGGCUGGAGUAUGGGAGAGGAAAGCGGAAUUCCUGGUGUAGCGGUGAAAUGCGUAGAUAUCAGGAGGAACACCUGCGGUGUAGACAGCUUUCUGGACCAUCACUGACGCUGAGACACGAAAGCGUGGGUAGCAAACAGGAUUAGAUACCCUGGUAGUCCACGCCCUAAACGAUGCAUACUUGGUGUGAGCCGUUCAUUCGGUUCGUGCCGGAGCUAACGCGUUAAGUAUGCCGCCUGGGGAGUACGGUCGCAAGGCUGAACUCAAGGAAUUGACGGGGCCCGCACAAGCGGUGGAGCAUGUGGUUCAAUUCGACGCAACGCG
rnacentral:rRNA from 1 species